rnacentral:tRNA from 2 species
UGUGGGUGGAGCAGCGUGGUAGCUCGCGAGGCUCAUAACCUUGAAGUCAUAGGUUCAAAUCCCGUCUCUGCAA